rnacentral:tRNA from 1 species
GGGCAAGUGGCGGAAUGGUAGACGCACUAGUCUUAGGAACUAGCGGAGCAAUUCGUGGGGGUUCAAGUCCCUUCUUGCCCA